ensembl:lncRNA
CAGUGAGCUUCUGGAAGGCAGGGACUGCAACUCUGUUCCUCUCUGUCCCCAUCGCCCAACAUGAAGCCUGAGCACAGCGGAUAUUUACUAAAUGAAUGGAGCUCUCCUGUCUAAAAGAGGAGUGAAAGAAAUUACAUCCAUGCAAACUGACUCACACUGCAGCUGCUGUCUGCAAGGAAAAAAAGGUGGAAAAAUAAGGCGCUGUCACUGAGCACUAAUAAGCUCAAUGGGAAAGAGUGAUAUCUUCCCUUGCAGAGCUUCUUAACAAUCUAGAAGAGCUGCCAGGAACCUAAGAGCUCAGUAAAGGGAACUUCCAUGGUGUGUUGUAGGCACUGUCGCACCUCACACCUGUCAUCGGCUAAGCCCUGCUCCUCAGGUCUUCUGGGCCUAGGCCUGGCAACCUCCCACCACCUAGGGCCUCGAGUGCUGACCUCGGCACUGAAGGUUUGGCCCUUGCUGGAAAAGAUGAGCCAGAGCUGGGAGAGCUGUGUAAAAGGAAGCCAUGCUUCGGCUGUUAUGUGUCUGCCGACACAACUGACAUCCUCAGGGAGAAGAGAACAUAAGCAACCCUACAAAAUCCAAAAGAGCCUAAAAUACUGUGCCCACUUACGUUAUCAAGAGAAUGACAGCCAAAAAUUGGAACCAAUCCAAAGAUCCAGCAGCAGGUCAAAGUACAAGCAAAUGGCACAAAACGUUGAGAGAAGAAUUUCUUGGGUCUGGAGUACAGAGUAACUCAGAACACUGCCCACGAUUUACUGUCAAUGAAACUACUAGAACUUAGUAUUAUGUAUCACACGUCUAUCAUAAAAACUUUAAAAUAAUAGCAACAACCAUUGAAAUGCUCCUGUUUGCCAGGUACUAUCCAGGCAUUUGGCACCUAGAUCACCAAGGUGGGUCACCCAGCCCAUGGGCAUGAUUCCAAUGAAGUCCAGCCUAACAAACCUCCCUCAGAAACAAAACAACAAAGAACUUACACUCAACAUCCCAAAACUGGGCUCAGUCAUUCUUUCCAAAGCCAAAACAACAUAUACAACAUUUGUG